CCUACGGGAGGCAGCAGUAGGGAAUCUUCCACAAUGGGCGAAAGCCUGAUGGAGCAACGCCGCGUGGGUGAAGAAGGUCUUCGGAUCGUAAAACCCUGUUGUUAGAGAAGAAAGUGCGUGCGAGUAACUGUUCACGUUUCGACGGUAUCUAACCAGAAAGCCACGGCUAACUACGUGCCAGCAGCCGCGGUAAUACGUAGGUGGCAAGCGUUAUCCGGAUUUAUUGGGCGUAAAGGGAACGCAGGUGGUUUUUUAAGUCUGAUGUGAAAGCCUUCGGCUUAACCGGAGUAGUGCAUUGGAUACUGGGAGACUUGAGUGCAGAAGAGGAGAGUGGAACUCGUUGUGUAGCGGUGAAAUGCUUAGAUAUAUGGAAGAACCCCAGUGGCGAAAGCAGCUCUCUGGUCUGUAACUGACGCUGAGGUUCGAAAGCGUGGGUAGCAAACAGGAUUAGAUACCCGAGUAGUC
rnacentral:rRNA from 1 species